GGCGGCAUGCCUAACACAUGCAAGUCGAACGGCAGCACAGUGUGUAGCAAUACACAUGGGUGGCGAGUGGCGGACGGGUGAGGAAUACAUCGGAAUCUGCCCGGUUGUGGGGGAUAACGUAGGGAAACUUACGCUAAUACCGCAUACGACCGAGAGGUGAAAGCGUGGGAUCCGCAAGGACCUCGCGCAGCCGGAUGAGCCGAUGUCGGAUUAGCUAGUUGGCGGGGUAAAGGCCCACCAAGGCGACGAUCCGUAGCUGGUCUGAGAGGAUGAUCAGCCACACUGGGACUGANACACGGNCCAGACUCCUACGGGAGGCAGCAGUGGGGAAUAUUGGACAAUGGGGGCAACCCUGAUCCAGCAAUGCCGCGUGUGUGAANAANGCCUNCNGGUUGUAAAGCACUUUUAUCCGGAAC
rnacentral:rRNA from 1 species